UGCAAAUGAUGUUUCUCACGAUGGUCUUCAGACUUCCAAUGGUGAUACUGCCUCAUGGCAUUAGCUGAUGCAGUAAA